UUUGCGGAGAGUUUGAUCCUGGCUCAGGAUGAACGCUGGCGGCGUGCCUAAUACAUGCAAGUCGAACGGGGAGUACUUACUUCGGUUUUUACUCCUAGUGGCGAACGGGUGAGUAACGCGUUGGUGACCUGCCCCGAAGCGGGGGAUAACAGUUCGAAAGGACUGCUAAUACCCCAUGUGGUCGUACUGGUUAGAGGCUGUACGACUAAAGGAGUAAUCCACUUCGGGAGGGGCCUGCGUCCCAUCAGCUAGUUGGUAAGGUAACGGCCUACCAAGGCGAAGACGGGUAGGGGACCUGAGAGGGUGGCCCCCCACACUGGCACUGAAACACGGGCCAGACAUCUACGGAUGGCAGCAGUAGGGAAUAUUGCACAAUGGGCGAAAGCCUUGGCAGCAGUAGGGAAUAUUGCACAAUGGGCGAAAGCCUGAUGCAGCAACGCCGCGUGCGCGAAGAAGGCCUUCGGGUUGUAAAGCGCUUUUCUGGAGGAAGAGGAAGGACGGUACUCCAGGAAUAAGGAUCGGCUAACUACGUGCCAGCAGCCGCGGUAACACGUAGGAUCCGAGCGUUAUCCGAAUUUACUGGGCGUAAAGCGCGUGUAGGCGGUCGGGUAAGUUGGACGUGAAAGCUCCUGGCUCAACUAGGAGAGGUCGUUCAAAACUGCCUGGCUAGAGGGCGACAGAGGGAGGUGGAAUUCCCGGUGUAGUGGUGAAAUGCGUAGAUAUCGGGAGGAACACCAGUGGCGAAGGCGGCCUCCUGGGUCGCACCUGACGCUCAGACGCGAAAGCUAGGGGAGCAAACGGGAUUAGAUACCCCGGUAGUCCUAGCUGUAAACGAUGUGGACUUGGCGUUGGUGGGGUCAAAUCCAUCAGUGCCGUAGCUAACGCGAUAAGUCCACCGCCUGGGGACUACGGUCGCAAGGCUAAAACUCAAAGGAAUUGGCGGGGGCCCGCACAAGCAGCGGAGCGUGUGGUUUAAUUCGAUGCUACACGAAGAACCUUACCCGGGUUUGACAUCCAGGUGGUAGGGAACCGAAAGGCGACCGACCCUUCGGGGAGCCUGGACAGGUGCUGCAUGGCUGUCGUCAGCUCGUGUCGUGAGAUGUCCGGUUAAGUCCGGUAACGAGCGCAACCCUUGCUGUAUGUUAUACGUGUCAUACAGGACUGCCGGUUUAGUGCCGGAGGAAGGCGGGGAUGACGUCAAGUCAGCAUGGCCUUUAUAUCCGGGGCUACACACACGCUACAAUGGCCAGUACAACAGGUUGCAAAACCGCGAGGUGGAGCCAAUCCCCAAAACUGGUCUCAGUUCAGAUUGCAGGCUGCAACUCGCCUGCAUGAAGUCGGAGUUGCUAGUAACCGCGCGUCAGCUAUAGUGCGGUGAAUACGUUCUCGGGCCUUGCACACACCGCCCGUCACGUCAUGGAAGCUGACAACACCUGAAGCCGGUAUCCCAACCGCAAGGAGGGAGCUGUCGAAGGUGGGGUUGGUGACUGGGACGAAGUCGUAACAAGGUAGGUGUACCGGAAGGUGCGCCUGGAUCACCUCCUUU
rnacentral:rRNA from 1 species